rnacentral:pre_miRNA from 1 species
GUAGUAUUCCCUCCGUCCCAAAAUUCUUGUCUUACAUUUGUUUAGAUACGAAUGUAUCUAACACUAAAAUGUAACUAGAUACAUCCAUAUUUAGACAAAUUUAAGAUAAGAAUUUUGGGAUGGAGGGAGUACAAA